rnacentral:lncRNA from 7 species
GGUGUCCUCUCGUGGCAGUCAGCAUCUCUGCAGCCUGAUGGUAGCCGUGCCAAGAGAGAGCCGAGCCUGGGCUCUCCUGGGCAUGCACUGCUGUCUUAGGGACAAAACUCUUGGAGCAGAGCUUCCCACCUCCCCUAGUGCACCCAAAGACGAGGAGCCUCCUGCUUCUGCUCCACGCCAGGCUGGAGGCUGCUGCUUGCUCUUGCUUUCCCUGCGUGAAAGAAGAACCCUUGGGAAAGGAGUGGUGGGUACCAGCUUUGCAGAGCGGAGGAAGUUUGUCCCAUGGAAGUGAGCAUCUCUGAGCUGCCGUGGGUUGGUGGAGAACAUCUCAGAGCUUGUAAUCAGUGCCUCAUAAAUCACCGCUGACUGCCGGGAUCGCUUUGGCCGCUCUUCCCCAUCGUCCUGUCUGCAGGAAUGGGCUGCAUGUUUCCACGUGGAUCGGGUCUGAAUUGGCUGUCUGAACCCAGAGAUUAAAGAAACAGCAGCCUCUCUCUCUCCUGUAACUGGCCCGAGAAUCCAUGAGCAUCCUCAGAAGUCUGAAGAGAAUGGGCAUCCUGUCUAUAUCCAAGGCAGGUAAUCACUGUAAAGGUCCUUCCCUCAUCACAUCUCUGUUGUAACACCUUUUCCUCUGUAUUGAUCUGCCACAUUGCUACACCAGGGGACUCUUUGACAGCUGAAGUUUUUGGUGUGUCUGCAUGACGUGAAGGUCCAGAAGGCCACCACUGGGGCUUCUGGUCACCACCCCAUCAGACCUGUGAGCAUGCAGGGAUCUGAAAUAAACUUUCU